AUUGAACGCUGGCGGCAGGCCUAACACAUGCAAGUCGAGCGAGCGGCGGACGGGUGAGUAAUGUCUGGGAAACUGCCUGAUGGAGGGGGAUAACUACUGGAAACGGUAGCUAAUACCGCAUACCAUCAGAUGUGCCCAGAUGGGAUUAGCUAGUAGGUGGGGUAACGGCUCACCUAGGCGACGAUCCCUAGCUGGUCUGAGAGGAUGACCAGCCACACUGGAACGGAGACACGGUCCAGACUCCUACGGGAGGAAGCAGUGGGGAAUAUUGCACAAUGGGCGCAAGCCUGAGGCAGCCAUGCCGCGUGUAUGAAGAAGGCCCUCGGGUUGUAAAGUACUUUCAGUGGGGAGGCGUUACCCGCAGAAGAAGCACCGGCUAACUCCGUGCCAGCCGCCGCGGUAAUAC
rnacentral:rRNA from 1 species